rnacentral:rRNA from 1 species
UACGAAGGGGGCGAGCGUUGUUCGGAGUUACUGGGCGUAAAGGGUGUGUAGGCGGUUGUUUAAGUUUGGUGUGAAAUCUCCCGGCUCAACUGGGAGGGUGCGCCGAAUACUGAAUGACUCGAGUGUGGGAGAGGUGAGUGGAAUUCCUGGUGUAGCGGUGGAAUGCGUAGAUAUCAGGAGGAACACCGGUGGUGUAGACGGCUCACUGGACCAUAACUGACGCUGAGACACGAAAGCGUGGGUAGCAAACAGG